rnacentral:rRNA from 1 species
GACGAACGCUGGCGGCGUGCUUAACACAUGCAAGUCGAACGGAGUGGCGAACGGGUGAGUAACAAGUUGGUUACCUGCCCUGCACUUCGGGAUAAGCCUGGGAAACUGGGUCUACUACCGGAUAGUGGGGGAUGGGCCCGCGGCCUAUCCGCUUGUGGGUGUGGUAAUGGCCUACCAAGGCGGCGACGGGUAGCCGGCCUGAGCGGGUGGACGGCCACAUUGGGACUGAGACACGGCCCAGAGUCCUACGGGAGGCAGCGGUGGGGAAUAUUGCACAAUGGGCGGAAGCCUGAUGCAGCGACGCCGCGUGGGGGAUGACGGCCUUCGGGUUGUAAACUCCUUUCACCAUCGACGCGGUAGAUGGAGAAGAAGCACCGGCUAACUACGGGCCAGCCGCCGCGGUAAUUC